rnacentral:rRNA from 1 species
CACCAGGCGCGAAAACUUUACAAUGCACGAAAGUGUGAUAAGGGAAUCCAAAGUGCUCAUGUUUAACAUGGGCUUUUGCCAAGGGUAAAUACCUUGGAGAAUAAGUGGUGGGUAAGACUGGUGCCAGCAGCCGCGGUAACCCCAGCGCCACAAGUGGGAGCCACAAUUAUUUGGCCUAAAGCGUCCGUAGCUGGUUAUGUAAAUCUUUUGUGAAAUCGGAAGGCUCAACUUUCCGGCGUGCAGAAGACACUGCAUAACUUGAGAUUGGGAGGGGUAAGGAGUAUUCCUAGGGAACCGGUAAAAUGGGAUAAUCCUAGGAGGACUACCUGUGGCGAAGGCGCCUUACCAGAACAAGUCUGACAGUGAGGGACGAAGGCUAGGGGAGCGAACCGGAUUAGAUACCCGAGUAGUCCUAGCAGUAAACUCUGCGGGCUAGGUGUUACACCAUCUAUGUGAUUGUGUAGUGUCGUAGCGAAGGCAUUAAGCCCGCCGCCUGGGAAGUAUGGUCGCAAGACUGAAACUUAAAGGAAUUGGCGGGGGAGCAC